AGCCACAGGCACCUCUGCCAGUUGGAACAUAAGUGACUUGGUUGUCCAGUAUCACUGUUGGAGAUAAUCUGACAGCCCUGGGCAUGUGCAAGACAGGAACCCAUGUGGUCCAGGAUAACCCCAGAGCCGAGAAUCUUCAGUCUAUGGAACUCAAAGAAUAGACGUGUUGAGGCUUUUAUGAAAUGAGAAGUUCUUCAACAAGGAAAAUCUGGCUCCCAGCAACAGUGGGAGCUUAUAUGGACUAAUUCAAGACUAGCCAAUCAGCUUCCAAGUUUGAAAUUUCCCUAAUCCCCUAAACUUCACCCCGAGCCCUGGAUGGAGAAGACAGGUGCGAGAGCCUUGCUUCCUGUUUCCUUGCCAGUCAAUCUCGCAGUAGAGCUUUUAUUUUCUCCAAAGCCGGUGCCUUGGUAUUGGCUUCUGUGCACAUUGGGCAAGGAGCCCUUGCUCGGUAGCAGUGUUGGUCACCACAAAGGGAUGUAAAUCUCAUGACUGCCUGCCAAAGGCGCCGCAGCCCCUGGCAGAGUGCAGACCCUCGUCACCCACCCUGAGCGGUCACCCAGACCAAACUUGUCUAGAGGGUCAGCUGUCACGUUGCUGCUUCCCACUGCUGCCCUCCAGGCUCCUUGGUGCUACUUUCACUUUUGAGAGAAGAAACCGCUGCUGGAUCAGAUGUCUUUUGGCUGGAGCCCCUGCUGCUGCCGGAGAACCCAGAGAAGCUCCAGUGCCAAAGACAAAGUCUCCGUAAGG